rnacentral:lncRNA from 1 species
AAAUAAUGGCUUUUGGAUAAAAAGAUAUAAGAUAUACGUCUUCUUUUAAAGUGUACAAAUAGCAUUGCUCAUAAGAGAUACAAUAAAAACGGUCUAUAGCUACACUUUUAAAUAUCGGUACAGGUCAAAAAAAGUGUUACUAGCUAAAUUACCGACACUUUUAAAAAGUGUUGCUAUAUGUGGGGUCGCUAGGUAUAUAGUGACAGUUAAAGGGUGUCGCUAUAACCUAAGAGUACUGCUACUUUACCAACACUUAUUUAAGCAUUUAGCAACCGCCGAAACUUUACCUCGUUGGCUGCGGUGGCGGAGGAGGACGAGAGUAAGGAAUCUUCGUCUAGAAUUUCAGUGGAUUGAGUGAGGAGAGAAGAGAAGAUGGUAAUCAAAUUUUCUUUUCUUUUUUUUUCUUUUCUGUUUGUAAUCGGAGCGAAUGAGCUGGGUGGGAUGGGUUGAGUAAAGUAACCUUUUAUUUUUUGUUGAAUUGGACUUUAUAUUUAGGCAUUAGUAGAUUUAUUUUUAAGUUUUGGCAUAAAUGGGACAAUUACAUAAAAAUGUCCCAAACAUGUGUCCUUAUAACCUAAUUCUAUUGCAGUGGCAAUACAGUCAAUAUAAUAUAUACACGUAUAAAUAGGUGUAAAUCUUACACCUUAGUUUUUCUAUGGGUAAAAUUUAGGGAAAACUUCAAAAAUUCUCCCUGUGGUUUCGUAGUUUCUCAGUUUGCCCCCCUAUGGUUUAAAAUAUAUCAAUUUGCCCCCCUAUGGUUUCUUUUUUCUCUUUUUCUUAUCAAUUUCAUUAUUUUUUUUUCCUUAAAUCAGUGAUAAAGUUAAAAUUAAAGGGUACUAAAGUGAAUAUUUGAUAAAUCUAGAUGGGUAUCUGAAGAUUUUUGUAUAUAAUUUAAUGAAAUAUUAACGAAAAAAUUACCGAAAAGAUAAAAACGAAACUACAGGGGGGCAAAUUGAUACACUUUAAACCACAUGGGGGCAAAGUAAGAAACUACAAAACCACGGGGGGGUUUUUG